UACGUAGGGUGCAAGCGUUUGUCCGGAAUUAUUGGGCGUAAAGAGCUCGUAGGCGGUUUGUCGCGUCUGCUGUGAAAACGCGAGGCUCAACCUCGCGCCUGCAGUGGGUACGGGCAGACUAGAGUGCGGUAGGGGAGAUUGGAAUUCCUGGUGUAGCGGUGGAAUGCGCAGAUAUCAGGAGGAACACCGAUGGCGAAGGCAGAUCUCUGGGCCGUAACUGACGCUGAGGAGCGAAAGCAUGGGGGAGCGAACAGG
rnacentral:rRNA from 1 species